UGAAAAGCUGUCUGAAAGGCUGUCUGUCAUAUGAUGAAGGUAUUUCGAUCCAUUCUCCUUGGCCCCAAAGGGCAGAACUAAGCAACAAUGGAUGGAAGUUACAUGGGCACAAAUUCAGAUAACAAAACUGAGAUGUGAAGAUGGGAAAUUGAGCUAAGUUACAAAGCUGGCUGGUAGAGUCAGGACUCGAAUCCAGAUCUCCUAGAUCCUAGACCAGAGGCAUCUUCCACCAAGCCAAGAUGGAGUCCCCAGUGGCCCAGAUGGAAUAUUUGCCCUCCUGUUCGAGGAUUCCGAGCCUCAUAUGGAGAUCUGUAUUCGUAUCUUGAAGGAGGAAAGGAGAGGAAAGUAUCCGAGACAAUCUUUCUAGGUAUCCUGUAGUGAGAAGAAAACUGGGGGUAGACUUGUGGCUCUGACAUUUCCUGGCUGUGUGACCCUGGAAAGAAUCCUUCAUUUACACCAGAAGAUGAGAACACAAGAUACCCCUUCAAAUUCUGGACAAUUAAGUGUUGAUAUGCUUUAUACAUUCACAGUAUGUAUCACAAAAAUUAUAAACACUUACAAGAAAAUAAUAGAUUAGAUGAAGAGGAGAAAGGAUGUGUCAAAAAUAAGAUUAUAAAGAGCCCCUUAUCAUGCUUCCUUUUGUAUAUUGUCUUUCCUCCUUAGAUUGUAAACUUGUGAUCCGAAACUGUUUUCCUCCCUAAUUUGCAUCUCCAGAACUUAGCACAGGGUCUGGCACAUAGUGGGUGCUUAAUAAAUAUUUAUUGACUGAC
rnacentral:lncRNA from 1 species